rnacentral:rRNA from 1 species
AUGAACGCUAGCUACAGGCUUAACACAUGCAAGUCGAGGGGCAGCAUUUCAGUUUGCUUGCAAACUGGAGAUGGCGACCGGCGCACGGGUGAGUAACACGUAUCCAACCUGCCGAUAACUCGGGGAUAGCCUUUCGAAAGAAAGAUUAAUACCCGAUGGUAUAAUCAGACCGCAUGGUCUUGUUAUUAAAGAAUUUCGGUUAUCGAUGGGGAUGCGUUCCAUUAGGCAGUUGGUGAGGUAACGGCUCACCAAACCUUCGAUGGAUAGGGGUUCUGAGAGGAAGGUCCCCCACAUUGGAACUGAGACACGGUCCAAACUCCUACGGGAGGCAGCAGUGAGGAAUAUUGGUCAAUGGGCGCAGGCCUGAACCAGCCAAGUAGCGUGAAGGAUGACUGCCCUAUGGGUUGUAAACUUCUUUUAUAUGGGAAUAAAGUUUUCCACGUGUGGAAUUUUGUAUGUACCAUAUGAAUAAGGAUCGGCUAACUCCGUGCCAGCAGCCGCGGUAAUACGGAGGAUCCGAGCGUUAUCCGGAUUUAUUGGGUUUAAAGGGAGCGUAGGUGGACAGUUAAGUCAGUUGUGAAAGUUUGCGGCUCAACCGUAAAAUUGCAGUUGAUACUGGCUGUCUUGAGUACAGUAGAGGUGGGCGGAAUUCGUGGUGUAGCGGUGAAAUGCUUAGAUAUCACGAAGAACUCCGAUUGCGAAGGCAGCUCACUGGACUGCAACUGACACUGAUGCUCGAAAGUGUGGGUAUCAAACAGGAUUAGAUACCCUGGUAGUCCACACAGUAAACGAUGAAUACUCGCUGUUUGCGAUAUACAGUAAGCGGCCAAGCGAAAGCAUUAAGUAUUCCACCUGGGGAGUACGCCGGCAACGGUGAAACUCAAAGGAAUUGACGGGGGCCCGCACAAGCGGAGGAACAUGUGGUUUAAUUCGAUGAUACGCGAGGAACCUUACCCGGGCUUAAAUUGCAGUGGAAUGAUGUGGAAACAUGUCAGUGAGCAAUCACCGCUGUGAAGGUGCUGCAUGGUUGUCGUCAGCUCGUGCCGUGAGGUGUCGGCUUAAGUGCCAUAACGAGCGCAACCCUUAUCUUUAGUUACUAACAGGUCAUGCUGAGGACUCUAGAGAGACUGCCGUCGUAAGAUGUGAGGAAGGUGGGGAUGACGUCAAAUCAGCACGGCCCUUACGUCCGGGGCUACACACGUGUUACAAUGGGGGGUACAGAAGGCAGCUACCUGGUGACAGGAUGCUAAUCCCAAAAGCCUCUCUCAGUUCGGAUCGAAGUCUGCAACCCGACUUCGUGAAGCUGGAUUCGCUAGUAAUCGCGCAUCAGCCAUGGCGCGGUGAAUACGUUCCCGGGCCUUGUACACACCGCCCGUCAAGCCAUGAAAGCCGGGGGUACCUGAAGUACGUAACCGCAAGGAGCGUCCUAGGGUAAAACUGGUAAUUGGGGCU